rnacentral:rRNA from 1 species
CCUACGGGCUGCAGCAGUGGGGAAUAUUGGACAAUGGGCGAAAGCCUGAUCCAGCAAUGCCGCGUGUGUGAAGAAGGUCUUCGGAUUGUAAAGCACUUUCGACGGGGACGAUGAAGACGGUACCCGUAGAAGAAGCCCCGGCUAACUUCGUGCCAGCAGCCGCGGUAAUACGAAGGGGGCUAGCGUUGCUCGGAAUGACUGGGCGUAAAGGGCGCGUAGGCGGUUUAUGCAGUCAGAUGUGAAAUCCCCGGGCUUAACCUGGGAGCUGCAUUUGAGACGCAUAGACUAGAGGUCGAGAGAGGGUUGUGGAAUUCCCAGUGCAGAGGUGAAAUUCGUAGAUAUUGGGAAGAACACCGGUGGCGAAGGCGGCAACCUGGCUCGAUACUGACGCCGAGGCGCGAAAGCGUGGGGAGCAAACAGGAUUAGAUACCCCCGUAGUC